rnacentral:rRNA from 1 species
UACAGAGGGGGCAAGCGUUAUUCGGAAUUAUUGGGCGUAAAGGGCGCGUAGGCGGCUUGGCAAGUGGAUGGUGAAAUCCCUCGGCUUAACCGAGGAACUGCCGUCCAAACUGCUUAGCUUGAGACCGGGAGAGGUGAGUGGAAUUCCCAGUGUAGCGGUGAAAUGCGUAGAUAUUGGGAGGAACACCAGUGGCGAAGGCGGCUCACUGGACCGGUACUGACGCUGAGGCGCGAAAGCGUGGGGAGCAACCAGG